rnacentral:rRNA from 1 species
AAUCAACGCUGGCGGCGUGCCUAACACAUGCAAGUCGAACGAGAAAGUCCCCGCAAGGGGAUGAGUACAGUGGCGACCGGGUGAGUAACACGUGACUAACCUACCCUGAAGCGGGGAAUAACCUCGGGAAACCGGGGCUAAUACCGCAUACCUUCCAGAGGGGAAGCUCCUGUGGAGGAAACGAGCAAUCGGCUUUAGGAGGGGGUCGCGCCCGAUUACGGUAGUUGGCGGGGUAAUGGCCCACCAAGCCUUUGANCGGUAGCCGGCCUGAGAGGGCGCACGGCCACACUGGAACUGAAACACGGUCCAGACUCCUACGGGAGGCAGCAGUGGGGAAUUUUGCGCAAUGGGGGAAACCCUGACGCAGCAACGCCGCGUGGAGGAUGAAGUCCCUUGGGACGUAAACUCCUUUCGACCGGGACGAUAAUGACGGUACCGGUGGAAGAAG